GAGUAUCUUUUAAGCAAAAUUAUAUGCACUUAGAGAAGAUUAAAAGUCACAGAAGAUCUGUGAACAAAGGUAUCACAAGACCAGGCACUAUCAAUGAAAGAGAAGAGGCCAUAUAUAUCCAAAUAUAAGAUAAGUCCUCAGUGUCCUUAUUAUAAUGGAGCUAAGCCUGAGAAGCCAUCCCAUCCUGUCUUCAUGAGCACUUCGUUAACGCCAAGUAUGCUAUCACUGCACGUUAUGAUUCCCAGGCGAGUGCAUCAUAAUUGCCUCACAAAUACUUGCUGGCUACUUGAUUCUGAUGGUAGUUAUACAAAUUAUUCUUAAAACCCAAA